rnacentral:sRNA from 1 species
GUCUGCCUUUGUGCUUAACUGAAUUGUCUUAAGCAACUCACAUCAUGUGGAGGAGCCAAGUAAAUGGAUCAAGUGUUAACGUUUUAAUUAAGCAGUCAUUACUGGCAUAGCUGGAUUUAGUUCUGUGUUUUGUUUAGUAGUCAUUUAUGCUAGAAAUUUGCUGAAAUCUAUAGUUACAAAAUGGGAUCCUUGUUUAGAUAGUCUUAGAAUUUGUUUUCCUACCAUAAUAACAAUGGUACAAACUAGAUAUUUAUGAUGUUUUCUUAUCUAUGAAAACAGGAAUGAUGGCACUGAAUUUGGAGGUUCUAUCUACCAGAAGGUGAAUGAGAAGAUUGAAACAUCCAUAAACCUUGCUUGGACAGCUGGGAGUAACAACACCCGUUUUGGCAUUGCUGCUAAGUACAUGCUGGAUUGUAGAACUUCUCUCUCUGCUAAAGUAAAUAAUGCCAGCCUGAUUGGACUGGGUUAUACUCAGACCCUUCGACCAGGAGUCAAAUUGACUUUAUCAGCUUUAAUCGAUGGGAAGAACUUCA